rnacentral:rRNA from 1 species
AGGGCGCACGGUGGAUGCCUUGGCACUAGGAGCCGAUGAAGGACGGGACUAACACCGAUAUGCUUUGGGGAGCUGUAAGUAAGCUAUGAUCCAGAGAUUUCCGAAUGGGGGAACCCAAUAUCUUUUAUAGGAUAUUACUUUUCAGUGAAUACAUAGCUGAUUAGAGGUAGACGCAGAGAACUGAAACAUCUUAGUACCUGCAGGAAGAGAAAGAAAAUUCGAUUCCCUGAGUAGCGGCGAGCGAAACGGGAAGAGCCCAAACCAACAAGCUUGCUUGUUGGGGUUGUAGGACUCCGAUAUGGUAGUCUGUUAGUAUAGUUGAAGGAUUUGGAAAAUUCCGCUAAAGAGGGUGAAAGCCCCGUAGACGAAAUGCUGACAACACCUAGGAGGAUCCUGAGUACGGCGGAACACGAGAAAUUCCGUCGGAAUCCGCGGGGACCAUCCCGCAAGGCUAAAUACUCCCUAGUGACCGAUAGUGAACCAGUACCGUGAGGGAAAGGUGAAAAGCACCCCGGAAGGGGAGUGAAAUAGAUCCUGAAACCGUGUGCCUACAACAAGUCAAAGCUCGUUAAUGAGUGAUGGCGUGCCUUUUGUAGAAUGAACCGGCGAGUUACGAUUGCAUGCGAGGUUAAGUCGAAGAGACGGAGCCGCAGCGAAAGCGAGUCUGAAUAGGGCGAAUGAGUAUGUAGUCGUAGACCCGAAACCAUGUGAUCUACCCAUGUCCAGGUUGAAGGUGCGGUAAAACGCACUGGAGGACCGAACCCACGUACGUUGAAAAGUGCGGGGAUGAGGUGUGGGUAGCGGAGAAAUUCCAAACGAACUUGGAGAUAGCUGGUUCUCUCCGAAAUAGCUUUAGGGCUAGCCUCGGAAUUGAGAAUGAUGGAGGUAGAGCACUGUUUGGACUAGGGGCCCAUCUCGGGUUACCGAAUUCAGAUAAACUCCGAAUGCCAUUCAUUUAUAUCCGGGAGUCAGACUGCGAGUGAUAAGAUCCGUAGUCGAAAGGGAAACAGCCCAGACCACCAGCUAAGGUCCCAAAAUAUAUGUUAAGUGGAAAAGGAUGUGGGGUUGCACAGACAACUAGGAUGUUGGCUUAGAAGCAGCCACCAUUUAAAGAGUGCGUAAUAGCUCACUAGUCGAGUGACCCUGCGCCGAAAAUGUACCGGGGCUAAACAUAUUACCGAAGCUGUGGACUACACCAUUAGGUGUAGUGGUAGGAGAGCGUUCUAAGGGCGUUGAAGGUCGAUCGUGAGGACGGCUGGAGCGCUUAGAAGUGAGAAUGCCGGUAUGAGUAGCGAAAGACAGGUGAGAAUCCUGUCCACCGUAUGACUAAGGUUUCCUGGGGAAGGCUCGUCCGCCCAGGGUUAGUCGGGACCUAAGCCGAGGCCGAUAGGCGUAGGCGAUGGACAACAGGUUGAUAUUCCUGUACCAGUUGUUUUUGUUUGAGCAAUGGAGGGACGCAGUAGGCUAAGGAAUGCAUGCGAUUGGAAGUGCAUGUCCAAGCAAUGAGUCUUGAGUAGAGUUAAAUGCUUUACUCUCUAAGGACAAGUUGUGACGGGGAGCGAAAUAAUAGUAGCGAAGUUCCUGAUGUCACACUGCCAAGAAAAGCUUCUAGUGAGAAAACAACUGCCCGUACCGUAAACCGACACAGGUAGUCGAGGAGAGUAUCCUAAGGUGAGCGAGCGAACUCUCGUUAAGGAACUCGGCAAAAUGACCCCGUAACUUCGGGAGAAGGGGUGCUGACUUCGGUCAGCCGCAGUGAAUAGGCCCAAGCGACUGUUUAUCAAAAACACAGGUCUCUGCAAAAUCGUAAGAUGAAGUAUAGGGGCUGACGCCUGCCCGGUGCUGGAAGGUUAAGAGGAUGGGUUAGCUUCGGCGAAGCUCAGAAUUGAAGCCCCAGUAAACGGCGGCCGUAACUAUAACGGUCCUAAGGUAGCGAAAUUCCUUGUCGGGUAAGUUCCGACCCGCACGAAAGGCGUAACGAUUUGGGCACUGUCUCAACGAGAGACU